rnacentral:rRNA from 1 species
GAUCACGCGGGAAUCUUACCGGGUCCGGACACACUGAGGAUUGACAGACAAAUAUAGAAAUUUUAUAUUUCUCAUAUAUAAAGAUGCUAGUUCUUUCAUGAUUAUGUGAUAGGUGGUGCAUGGCCGUUCUUAGUUCGUGGAGUGAUCUGUCUGCUUAAUUGCGUUUCAAUUUUUAUUAUGUAUACGUAUGACCCACGUUUACGCGUGCGAGUCUAGUAUGCUAUCAUUUGAAAGCAACGAACGUGACCGUAUCCUUUUAUUAUAUACGCACGCGUAUAUUUAUUCAUUAAAGGGACCGCUGUUUCUUUUUUUAAACCAGAGGAAGGUUACGGCAAUAACAGGUCUGUGAUGC